AUUGAACGCUGGCGGCAGGCCUAACACAUGCAAGUCGAGCGGAUGAAGGGAGCUUGCUCCUGGAUUCAGCGGCGGACGGGUGAGUAAUGCCUAGGAAUCUGCCUGGUAGUGGGGGAUAACGUCCGGAAACGGGCGCUAAUACCGCAUACGUCCUGAGGGAGAAAGUGGGGGAUCUUCGGACCUCCCGCUAUCAGAUGAGCCUAGGUCGGAUUAGCUAGUUGGUGGGGUAAAGGCCUACCAAGGCGACGAUCCGUAACUGGUCUGAGAGGAUGAUCAGUCACACUGGAACUGAGACACGGUCCAGACUCCUACGGGAGGCAGCAGUGGGGAAUAUUGGACAAUGGGCGAAAGCCUGAUCCAGCCAUACCGCGUGUGUGAAGAAGGUCUUCGGAUUGUAAAGCACUUUAAGUUGGGAGGAAGGGCAGUAAGUUAAUACCUUGCUGUUUUGACGUUACCAACAGAAUAAGCACCGGCUAACUUCGUG
rnacentral:rRNA from 1 species